UACGAAGGGGGGCUAGCGUUGCUCGGAAUUACUGGGCGUAAAGGGAGCGUAGGCGGAUAGUUUAGUCAGAGGUGAAAGCCCAGGGCUUAACCUUGGAACUGCCUUUGAUACUGGCUAUCUUGAGUACGGGAGAGGUGAGUGGAAUUCCCGGUGUAGCGGUGAAAUGCGCAGAUAUCGGGAAGAACACCCGUGGCGAAGGCGGCUCUCUGGGACGGUACUGACGCUGAGACGCGAAAGCGUGGGGAGCGAACAGG
rnacentral:rRNA from 1 species